CGCUGCUGGUCUGGGGGGAUGCCCUCCUUGUCCUGGAUCUUCGCCUUGACGUUGUCAAUGGUGUCCGAAGACUCCACCUCAAGUGUGAUGGUCUUGCCGGUGAGGGUCUUGACGAAGAUCUGCAUACCACCACGCAGGCGGAGCACCAGGUGGAGGGUGGACUCCUUCUGGAUGUUGUAGUCAGCCAGUGUGCGGCCGUCCUCGAGCUGCUUGCCAGCGAAGAUGAGGCGCUGCUGGUCUGGAGGGAUGCCCU